rnacentral:rRNA from 1 species
GAAACUGCGAAUGGCUCAUUACAACAGUUAUAGUUUACUUGAGGAUUGAGGCCUACAUGGAUAACCGUGGUAACUCUAGAGCUAAUACAUGCGUAUAAAAGCGUCAGCUUUGUAUUUAUUAGAUCGACCCAGCUGGGGCAACCCAUGAUGGUGAGUCAUGAUAACUUAACGAAUCGCAGAGACAUCGUCGGCGAUGCAUCAUUCAAGUUUCUGCCCUAUCAGCUUUCGAUGGUAGUGUAUUGGACUACCAUGGCAGUGACGGGUAACGAGGAAUUAGGGUUCGAUUUCGGAGAGGGAGCCUGAGAAACGGCUACCACAUCUACGGAAGGCAGCAGGCGCGUAAAUUACCCAAUGCCGACACUUUGGCGAGGUAGUGACAAGAAAUAACAAAGAGAGACUUUUUAGUCAAUCUAUUGGAAUGGGCACAAUUUAAAAUCCUCAGUGAGGAACAACUGGAGGGCAAGUCUGGUGCCAGCAGCCGCGGUAAUACCAGCUCCAGUAGCGUAUAUUAAAGUUGUUGCAGUUGAAACGCUCGUAGUCGGACUUCUUCCUAUUUUAUAGGAAUUCGCCGAUCGCCUCACUGAAUAUUAUUGGUGAGUCCACGACGGCAUGUCACCUUGAGAAAAUUAGAGUGUUCAAGGCAGGCUUUUGCUUGAAUACUGUAGCAUGGAAUGGCACGCUAAUGCAGGCACGAGUAGCUGGUGUUCGUGCGAGGCAAAGGUCGAUAGGGGCAGUCGUGGGCAUUGGUAUUGAAUAGUGAGAGGUGAAAUUCUUGGACCUAUCCAAGACCGACAUGUGCGAAAGCAUCUCGCCAAGGAUGCCUUCAUUGAUCAAGAACGAAGGUCAGGGGAUCGAAGACGAUCAGAUACCGUCGUAGUCCUGACUGUAAACUAUGCCGACUGGGGAUCCGAGGCGCAGAUAAACGACGCUUUGGGCACCCUCCGAGAAAUCAAAGUCUUUGGGUUCUGGGGGAAGUAUGGUCGCAAGGCUGAAACUUGAAGGAAUUGACGGAAGGGCACCACCAGGCGUGGAGCUUGCGGCUUAAUUUGACUCAACACGGGGAAACUUACCAGGUCCAGACAUGGCGAGGAUUGACAGACUGACCGAUCUUUCUCGAUUCCGUGGGUGGUGGUGCAUGGCCGUUCUUAGUUGGUGGAGUGAUCUGUCUGGUUGAUUCCGGUAACGAACGAGACCUUGGCCUGCUAACUAGUUCGUUAAGUACGCUUAGUGUUACUUCUUAGAGGGACACCGGUGGUUACACCGAGGAAGUUCGAGGCAAUAACAGGUCUGUGAUGCCCUUAGAUGUCCUGGGCCGCACGCGUGCUACACUGAUACAGUCAGCGAGCUUCAACGUUGAAAAACCAAGAUAACCUCUAAACUGUAUCGUGAUGGGGACAGUUCUUUGCAAUUAUGGAACUCCAACGAGGAAUGCCUAGUAAGUGCAAGUCAUCAGCUUGUGCUGAUUACGUCUCUGCCC